AUUGAACGCUGGCGGCAGGCCUAACACAUGCAAGUCGAACGGUAGCACAGAGAGCUUGCUCUCGGGUGACGAGUGGCGGACGGGUGAGUAACGUCUGGGAAACUGCCCGAUGGAGGGGGAUAACUACUGGAAACGGUAGCUAAUACCGCAUAACGUCGCAAGACCAAAGUGGGGGACCUUCGGGCCUCACACCAUCGGAUGUGCCCAGAUGGGAUUAGCUAGUAGGUGGGGUAAUGGCUCACCUAGGCGACGAUCCCUAGCUGGUCCGAGGGGAUGACCAGCCACACUGGAACUGAGACACGGUCCAGACUCCUACGGGAGGCAGCAGUGGGGAAUAUUGCACAAUGGGCGCAAGCCUGAUGCAGCCAUGCCGCGUGUAUGAAGAAGGCCUUCGGGUUGUAAAGUACUUUCAGCGGGGAGGAAGGCGGUGAAGUUAAUAGCUUCACCGAUUGACGUUACCCGCAGAAGAAGCACCGGCUAACUCCGUGCCAGCCGCCGCCGUAA
rnacentral:rRNA from 1 species